rnacentral:rRNA from 1 species
UACAGAGGUGGCAAGCGUUGUUCGGAAUUACUGGGCGUAAAGGGCGCGUAGGCGGUCUUAUAAGUCUCGUGUGAAAUCCCUUGGCUUAACUGAGGAACUGCACGGGAUACUGCAAGACUUGAGAUCGGGAGAGGGAAGCGGAAUUCCGGGUGUAGCGGUGAAAUGCGUAGAUAUCCGGAGGAACACCGGUGGCGAAGGCGGCUUCCUGGACCGAAACUGACGCUGAGGCGCGAAAGCUAGGGGAGCAAACAGG